rnacentral:ribozyme from 1 species
CCGAGAUACUUUGCUGGUAUGGGACUUAAUCCGAAGCCACUUAGAGGAAAUCUCAGGCCUACCAUUUCCUGCUCCGACUCAAUACCUUCAUGACUCAGGGAAGCGGUAAUAUGUCUCUUCAAAGAGCUUGAGCUUGAGUGUAUUGGGGAAACCCCACUACUUGGAAUGAUGAGUGAUAUGGGCAAACCGAGCUGA